ACGUGAACAGGUCCUAGCAGGAGCACUGCAGGGUGCCACCAGGUCCUGCAGCACAGCUUCUUGAGCGUCAGGGUUUCUGUUUUGUGGUACAGGUUCACUGGAAUUUAACCUCAUAAAAAUCAUUUGGCAAGACUUAACAUUAACCCAGGAGUUCCAGGGCAUCACCUGUGUGUGAUCUCAGUCAGUUUAACUGAGGUUUGGGGGAGAAAAACUGCUUUAAAGCUGUGAGUCAACCUCUGUACAAUCCUGUCAGGAUUAAGGGCAGCAGACCGGGUAUGUUGAUGCCUCUGACCCAGCGCCCGCGUCCCCACCGGGAAGCGCCACGGAAGAUCGCGGUGGGAAUCGUGGCCGGAUUCAGGCAGCUCCUAUCCUCAGCACGUCUUCCUGGGGAUAGGAGCCCUUCACGGCGGCAUUUUUCUCCCUACCCAAAGCGCAUGCGUGAAAUGACGUUGGAAAGGGCACGAUAAGCCUAAGCCGCCAUCUUAGGUGUGGUCAUAUGUGUUCCGCCCAAACUCCGCCAUCUUGCGUUCUGGCAGAAGUCAUUUCCGGUUAAUCAGCCAUCUUUGAUAUUGGUAUCACGUGGCUCUGCCCGGAGCCGCCAUCUUGUGUGCUGGCAGCAGCCGGGUCCCGGCGGUUCCGCCACCUCCGGCCCGGUGCCGACUUUCGUUUGCGGGCACCUGCAGCGCUUUGGGAGCGGCGUUUGUCGCUGUCCGUCACACACACACACAAACACGCACACACAUCUCCAUCCCGCGCAGCUCGGCAGAGCCCCGCCCGCUGUCCCCGCUCCGGGGUCUGUCAUAGUUUCUUGCCCAUGUAACACAGAAACGACCUCCCAUCAACAUCAUGGUCACCGUUCUUCUCUGCCUCGUGCGUCAGUGUUUGCAGAUCCCGACAGCAGAAGGGAACAAGACAUCCUGAGACCCCGCAGAUGUUGGAUUUUCUGAAGAUCUCACCUUUCGGAGAGGCGACCGGCCGGUCCCAGCUCAUUGCAGCUCCCCGCAGGAACACGAGGGGGUGCUGCAGGACAGGCGUGCCGCGCUGCUCCCUCCGCCCUGACAGUCAGCGCAGGAAUAAAACUGGGCUCGCUGCGCCGAGAUAUCCAUAGAAUCCUGGAAAGUUCCGGGUGGGAAGGGACCUUAAAGCCCCUCCCGUUCCACCCCCUGCCAUGAACACGGACACCUUCUACUAUCCCAGGCUGCUCCAAGCUCUGUCCAACCUGACCUUGGACACUUCCAGUCACUCUGCUGCAGCCUGUCAAAUUAAUUAGUUUUUUCUCGGAAUGCUAUAGGAGAGAAGGCAACUGGCGGGGCUGAGCAUCACAUUUAACACAGCCAUACACUUCUGGGAGCCACUUUUGGGUGCGUCAAACAAUGCAUUUUUCAGGGAUACCCAGAAAGUGAGGUUUUCUGUGACAUCAAGGCAGAACUCCUCACCAGUUGCGUGAGGUGAGCGUCUCAGGAAAAAUAGGAGGAUGAAUUUAAGAAAGAGAAAUGUAGUAGAGAAUCAGCGGGUGCCAGAGGUUAGCCGAGUGAAAGAACGGGAACACAGGCGAGUAGGAACAGAA
rnacentral:lncRNA from 12 species